AGGCACUGGGUCUUGGUUGGUGGUUGUGAGUGGAGCUAUCCUCAGCCCUCACUGUGGAAGCCAGGAGUCUUCCUAUGCAGCUCAGGAUUGCCGUGAACUAGAAGCAAUGCUCCUGCCUCAGUCUCUCGAGUGAUUAGAGACACUAUACCCAGCUCAAGUGAAUUUCAGCACUGUAACAUGCUGAGUAAGAGGACAUCACAGAAUCUGAGCUUCACAGGGAAGUGCAGACGUGGCAUCUCCCGUGCUAUACAGAUCCACCUGCUAGGUGUCCAACCACAGCCGUACAGGACAGCUCCUAGACCUCAGCUCAUACUUCAGUGAAACCCCUGCUACUUCCUCCUGUAUAAAUCAAGAAUGACAACUUCUGCCUUGAAGGCUGGUGUGGAGCCAAAUCAGAAAAGCAUGGAACAAGGCCACAGUGGGUGUUAAAUAUGUUCUUCAGGCCCAUGGGUGCUAAAGUGUGUCCCACUUACGUGCUGACAGAUCCAGCCACACACACCCACUCUGACAGUUCGACAGCUUCCAUCAUCAGACCCUCCGGGUGGGAGAAGGAAAGGCACGGAAGACAUUGAUGCCCAAGCUGUCUGCUGUGCAGCUCUGGUCCCCGCACCUCCCUGACUCUCAGUGUUGUCUUCUAUCACAUGAGAACAUGGCACCUCCUGAAGAGUGUGGUGGGGAGCCAUGGAGGAGUCCAGAGUGGCUUACUCUGACCCAAAUGCAUGGUUAAAAAAUAAAAACUCAGAAGCCUGAAACAGGA